GCCUGGUCCUAACCUUAUAAUCAGUUCUUACUUAACCUACACAUGCAAGUCUCCGCACCCCUGUGAAAAAGCCCCUAAAUUCUCAUGUGUUUGGGGAGCAGGUAUCAGGCACAACUAAAAGCCCAAGACACCUAGCCUUGCCACACCCACAAGGGUCAUCAGCAGUGACUAAUAUUGAACAUUAACGACAGCUUGAUUCAGUUAAAGUAAACAGAGCCGGCAAAUCAGGUGCCAGCCGCCGCGGUUACACCCCAGGGCUCAAAUUGAUUAACACCGACGUAAAGCGUGAUUAAAGACACAAAAAACUAAGGCUGAGCUCAGAUUAAAGAGUAAAAUACCUAUCUGACUAAGACCCACUAACGAAAGUUGCCUUAUGUAACCCAACUUGAACACACGAAAGCAAGAACACAAACUGGGAUCAGAUACCCCACUAUGCUUGCCAUAAACUUUAACUUACACCACCAAUC
rnacentral:rRNA from 1 species